rnacentral:lncRNA from 1 species
CAGUUUUCCAAAUUCAUUACUGUUUUUAUGUUAUUUAGUUAUUUAAUACAGAGAACACAUGUGUUUCUUCAAUCUGUACUGUAGAACGUAUCCAAUAAUACAAUCUUUAAAAUGUGCUGCUAUUUAGUUUGCGAAAUACCUGGAAUACGGAAUAGACUUAUUUUUUAUAGAAGUUAUAUGAUAACAGUGUGGGAAUUAUGUAGAAGGGAACAUCUGAUUUUAUUUUUCUACUCCUUCCCCACGUGGUUGUCGGGGCGGUCGCAUCACCAACUGGCCAGACUUCUAAUUUUGCAUAAAGUAAAUUGACUGGCUCUGGUUCUACUUCACUUGAGCGAAAGCUUAACCUGAGUGAUCAGACACAGCUUCACUCAUAUAAUUCCAAAUUUCUCACAGCUGGUUAGAAUACCCAGAGUCAGAACUGAGCGCAGUGCGGAGCUCUGCGUGUUACAAACUCUUGAUCUCUGCAGCCAGCGCGACAAAUUCAUUUAAAAAAAGUAAUCUUACAUUUUUUCUAACAUUUGUUUAAAGUUCCGAAGUCAAAAGUUACAAAGACAUUCCUCCAGAAGGAAAGAUAUCAGCGCCAGUUUAUCCUGAAAUCACCGCAAUGAUGGAUUCUACAGAGAAAUUAAACGGAGAAAAAAACGCAGAGAUUCACAAAAGUGCCCACAGAUCUCUCCUGUUUAGAUGUUUGGUGGCGCUACCUACAGUUCUGUGUUUCAUAUUAUCGCUGAGCUCCUUAGCAUUUUGUUUUUUUGUGAGUUUCAAAGCAUACCAGUUGGAAAACAGGGUGAACGAUUUGGAGAUGGAAAAAAGAUCUGUAUUUCAUCCUUCAGAAACCACAAUCAUCGGAGAAGAUGGAAACGUAUUACCUGUACUUCAAGAUACGAUUGAAAGACUCAUACAAGAGAGGUUAAAUGAAGCGAUGCCUAAGCUACGACCUGUAAGAGAUGUGGACCGAGAGUGUUCCUGCCCUCCAGGUACUGUAUGUCAAAUGUUAUGGGCUUGGUGUGCUAGUUGUAUUCUAGACACCAACUGGUGUUUGUUUAAUGGUGAGGCAGACAGGUGGCGUGAAUUCAGCAGUAUACAGUAGAUGGUGAAUUAUUUCUGAUACAGUUAAAAAGGAAUCAGAUACCAUUCCAAACAUUUAAAACCACAAAUUACAUGGCCAUUGGCAAUUCCAGCUCUAUCUCUACCCAGUUCUAUCAGUAACUUGCCUUAAUGCUGUGAUAAUGUCAAUGGAGAUGGAGACUUUUGUUAGCUGAGAAAUAAUGUAAGUCUGAAGAAUUUUAUUAUUUUUACUUUCUUUGUAUGGGAUGAUUUGGCAAAGAAAAGGUGAAGUUUUAAAUAACUUGUUUUUUUAGAGUAAUUCAUAUCUGGGAAUGAAGGGCAGAUGUUAUGGAGUAAUUUGCCUCCGUUGUCUAGCACUGAUUGUUCAUUUGGAGUCAAAAUUCCUUGGGUCCUCAUUCUUAAUUUACCUGUGAAGAGUCACUGACAGACAAUGAAAUACCUAAUAGGGAAAAAAUGCACUCUGAGAUGCUAUAUUUUUAGUUACAUUUACAUUUUAUAUUCUGCUUUUAUAGAGAUGAGGUUGAAGGCCAACAAUUUAACAUGAACGGCCAUUUCUUUCCUAUUUGUGUAUGGUCAUUUUAUCAUAAAUCAGAAAUCUUUGUGAAAAGAUUAAUAUUUUUAGAAGAAUUGCAGUACUCAUUCAAGAUGUGGUUUAUUGUAUGUGAGAGUACACAUCAGUGAGCCAGAGCCAGAACUCUAGGGCACAGGGGACAAGUCAGAGAUGCCAGCCUGUGAUGGGGCACUCAAUAUACCAAUUUUAUAACUAUAACUUGGUGAGAGGUUUUUAAGGAAAGUUCAUACUUACGUGUACAUCUGUCAUUUAUACAAACCAAUUUGUGCAUUAGCACAUUAUAUUGAAUGCUUCUGUAGUCAUUACAGGAUCACAACACAAAAUCUCUUCUAUGCAUUCUAUACAAAAAUAACUCAAAUGAAAAAAACAGGCACAUUUUGAUAUUUAUUGCAACUUUAACAGUUGUACUGAAUAAUUUGAAAGUUGAUAUUCCUGUUAUUGGAAUGUUGGCACACUACCCUGUACAAUUGGAGUGUGAUCAUUUUUUUGCAUGAUGUACAACUUUUGUAAGUCAAAAGGGCAAUCUAUGCCGUUCCAUUAAAAACAAAAUGUUCAAACAGGUUGUUUAAGUGUGUCUUUUAUUUUCAAUAGUAAUUAUGAUAAUUCCAUCCUUCAUGCUGUUAAGUUGAGUUUGUGCAAUGAAACAGCUUGUGACUAAAUCCCCUGGCUGUCAGAUAAGAAGGUGGAGGUGUUCUCUGUUUUAGACACCAGAAGUAUUAGAUGUGAAAGUUUUUCUUCUCUCUUCAUCUCUCUGCCCCAGGUACUAUAAGCAUGUAAUAUGAGUUGACAGCUACACUGAUGGUUAGUUUAAGAUUUAAGUCAAUAUGUCAUAGCAGGGGAGAAGGUAGGUAACUGGCUGAGUACACCAGAGAAUUAGGGGCAAGAGUCUUCACCUUCAUGGCUGUUCUUCACUCCAAAACAAAAUUCUAAUAAACUGAAAAGGUUGACUGUGUUGCUUGGGCCAUACUGUUGCCUUAGUAUUUGAGCUGUCUGUUUCAGAACUGGUCCCCAAUGAACUUCAAAGUGAUUUGAUGAUUGGUCUAAUGGUCCAUGAAUCCAUUGACGCUCACAGGCAUCUGUAUGACUAAACUAUUUACAUUCUAAGAUACAGGGGAGGCCCUCACUCAUUCUUUGCUUUGUGGGUGAACAGUUCUCCCUCACAUACUGUAGGAACAUGCAUAUCAGUGGAAUGGGGAGUUAUGGCUCUCCCAUUGCUCCAAAUGGUUGGCUCAAAAUAACAUUUCCUAAAUUAGAUUAUCCACACCAAAUGGACAAUGCUGUAACACCGCUCCUGCUGAUAGUAUUGAGUCCUGCAUGUGUGCACUCCGGGAAGUGGUAAGUCUUUUGUAAAAAGACAAAGAUCUUCCAGUUCACUGAGACUAACACAGCAUUCUUUGGAACUUGCAGUUUCCAGACUCCUCUUGCAUCCUGGACAAAGCACUUUUUCAUUGAUGAUGACUCAGUUUUCAACAUUUGUAAAAGUGCACAGAACUGUUUUUUUUUUAGUAAGUGGAAAUCCAAACUAAACUCAUGUUUUAACUGAUUUAAAGUUAAAACUGCAACUAUAAAGAACCGUUUAGCCUAUUUUGGUAAUGCCUGGGCUUACACUGAGUUUUGGAACUUGAUCCAUUUGUGCUAGUAAGAUAUUUUUUGGAGAUUUUGUAAAAGAGUUAGAAAGCUUGUCAAUUUGCAUUUUCCCUGGAUCAGUUUGAGUGCCUUUUAACAACUGGUCAUCAAUCAGAGCUCCAUAAUGAUCUCAAGGUUGCCUUUCUGUAUGUUUUUGUCAUGUGUUUGUCUCCACAGUCAUCUCAGCAUGAGGUAACCUUGCAAAUCUUCAGUCACAAGUCUGCUGGCUUUUAUCAUUUGGUUUGUUUUUGUUCUGAAAGAGACUGGCUCUGGUGCAGCCAACAAGAGAGUCGUGAUUAAAAAAACAACAACAUGCAAAUGAAUGAGGAACAUCAAGCCUGAGAAUGACAGUCCUGCAGUCUUAUUCACAGCAGCAGCUGAGGCUGUAAUCGCUGUGGACAGAAUAGCUUUACAGCAUGUAAUGUGAGUCAUGUUGCUGAAACAGAGAUGGUUUGGAGGUUAUCGCUUUUAUCUUUUUAUAGAUUAGUACAUAUGGCCACAUAUAGUUGUUAUAAGGCUUCUUGUGAAGCUUUAAAAGCUUUGGUAUUUGUUUCUAAAUGUAAUUUGAUUUUGAAGUUUCAUAUGAAUUUUAUUGUAUUAAAGCUCACCUAACUUCUUUGGCUUAAAAAAAAAUACAGUUGGUUGCUGCUCAACAGUUGGCAGGCAUUAUGCCUUUAAUGUGAACCAUAGUAUAAAUCUAAUAUCAACUUUCUUUUUU